rnacentral:rRNA from 1 species
UACGUAGGGUGCGAGCGUUGUCCGGAAUUACUGGGCGUAAAGAGCUCGUAGGUGGCUUGUCGCGUUGUUCGUGAAAACUCACAGCUCAACUGUGGGCGUGCGGGCGAUACGGGCAGACUGGAGUACUGCAGGGGAGACUGGAAUUCCUGGUGUAGCGGUGGAAUGCGCAGAUAUCAGGAGGAACACCGGUGGCGAAGGCGGGUCUCUGGGCAGUAACUGACGCUGAGGAGCGAAAGCGUGGGGAGCGAACAGG